AUUGAACGCUGGCGGCAUGCCUUACACAUGCAAGUCGAACGGCAGCACGGGAGCAAUCCUGGUGGCGAGUGGCGAACGGGUGAGUAAUAUAUCGGAACGUGCCCAGUCGUGGGGAUAACGUAGCGAAAGCUACGCUAAUACGCAUACGAUCUAUGGAUGAAAGCGGGGGAUCGCAAGACCUCGCGCGAUUGGAGCGGCCGAUAUCAGAUUAGGUAGUUGGUGAGGUAAAGGCUCACCAAGCCGACGAUCUGUAGCUGGUCUGAGAGGACGACCAGCCACACUGGGACUGAGACACGGCCCAGACUCCUACGGGAGGCAGCAGUGGGGAAUUUUGGACAAUGGGCGCAAGCCUGAUCCAGCAAUGCCGCGUGCAGGAUGAAGGCCUUCGGUUGGUAAACUUA
rnacentral:rRNA from 1 species